ensembl:lncRNA
GUGUUUCGCCUUUGCUCUGAGCCGGCCAGAGGAUAAUGGGCCUUUUUCUUUACGUUUAUCUGGGGGAUUUGGCCGUUUACUGGUUGCUACUGCUCCCUUCCUGAGCGUUCUGUUUAAAAAAAAAAAAAGGAGUCGGAGGGAAGGGCUUAAUUUACUAUUUGACAAGAAAUUAGGACCCCCAACAAACUGAAGAUACUUCUUUCAAGGAAUCCGAAAGAGGGUUCCGUAAGUGUGGCUAAUCCUUUACCUGAAAGAGGACCUGAUCAAGGACAGACAGAGGGAUGACCGAAUGAAUAGACCUAACAACUUUGUGACUUGGAGCACAGGGUUGCCUUGGGCACAAAAUCAACCGCAGUAAUUAUUGAGAAGGCAGGAGAGAAGCCAGAUUCCAUGCACUCGAUGCCUAUGACAAGGAGAAGCACAAAGUUCUGAAGUCCAGCUGAUCAGUUACGUUGAGGACCCUACCAUGGCCAUGCCUCCUUUCAUGGUGCUUGAAAUGAUGUGGGGGAGAUGAAGCAAGAGUCCUCUAUACAUUUCCAGUUGGCCUUGGGUUUUUCUUUUUUUGGUACCAGGGAUUGAACUCGGGACCUUGGGCUUUCGAGGUAGGUGGUGGAACCACUGAGCUAAAUCCCCAGCUGGAUUUCAUUUUCUUAAGACUUAGGUACCAUUUCCCUACAGAGAGGCACACAAUAGUGAUUUAAGCAAUCAGUUCCAGGAAAACAUCGUGUGUAAUUGAAAAUGUUGAGGACAACAAGCAGGACCCUGUGGGAAGAUGAGAAGAUUUUACAGAGAGAUACUAGCCCAUGAGGGGAGUGUUCAUCAGGCAAGACAGGCAGACAGGAAAAAGCCAAGUCCAGAGGGAGUCAGGAUGAUCCAAAGAAGGACAAGAUAAAAUGAAGCCUGGGACUGAGAACUAACAAAAACCCAGGCCCCAGGAUGGGGACAUGAUGGCCAAGGCCAGGACCCUGGUGGCCUGAUGAGCAAGGGUCCCAUUUAAACUAGUGGGAUCCUCCUGUGAUAAAAACAAGGUGAUAGAUAACCAGUCCCACCAAGCCUCCAUUCUUACUCCCCUCUGAAGAGUGCCUUUGUUUUACUCAUGCUGGUAAUUUUAGAGAAGUUAUAAUUAAUGGUGCUUGCAAAAUUCUGCUUGCUACAUAUCCCAGGUUCUAAGGAGUUCUAAGUUAAGCCCACUUCUAAGUCAAACUUUCCUGCUUAUAACCUCAUAGGAUGACCUCAACUCGGCCCAGAGUGGUGUGAGAUGUAAUCAUUUUUGUGUAUAAAAACCCCUAGACAAAGAGAUCCUAUAGCAACUGACUUGAGUCUCCUCCUGGUAUCGAGAGCUUUCUGCUUUCACUCUAUGAUAAAUUAUUUUGCUCAUUUCUCUCUUGAGUCUGCCUCAUAAUUCUUUCUGGGUUGAGAGAAGAACCCUGGAGCAGGAUGGUAACAGAGCUAUUCCAGAUAGAUUAACUUGGACUUUGCUUGGGUUUGCAUUAUAGAAGGAAGGUGACACUGCCUCAUGUUGACAGAGAAUAUUUGCACUGAAGAAGUUUGAAGAAAAUAAGCAACUCCUGAGAGGACUAAGUGUGAAGAAGAAGAGGCAAGAACCUCCUGGACCUGUUAAAGCUGGGUGUCACUGCAUCCCCACAUCCAGUGCCCGUGUCCUGCUACCAUUGCCACCACACCCAAGAGAAAGGUGGAAGAUCGAGAUGCUAAAGGAGACAAAGCCAAGUUGAAGAACAAACCACAGAUACCAUAUAUAAGAUUGUUUGCUAAACCCGAUCCUUCAAAGCAGAGUCCCUACUAAGCAGGCCCC